rnacentral:piRNA from 1 species
UGCUUCUCAGCACCAAAUCCCUUAGAAGUU